rnacentral:rRNA from 1 species
UGCCAGCCGCCGCGGUAAUACGAGGGGUCCAAGCGUUGUUCGGAAUUACUGGGCGUAAAGCGGGUGUAGGCGGCCAUAACAGUCGGAUGUGAAAGCCCUGGGCUCAACCCAGGAAGUGCAUCCGAUACUAUAUGGCUUGAGUACUAGAGAGGGAAGUGGAAUUCCUGGUGUAGCGGUGAAAUGCGUAGAUAUCAGGAGGAACAUCGGUGGCGAAGGCGGCUUCCUGGCUAUGUACUGACGCUCAGACCCGAAAGCGUGGGGAGCAAACAGGAUUAGAUA